AUUGAACGCUGGCGGCAUGCCUUGCACAUGCAAGUCGAACGGCAGCAUGAUCUAGCUUGCUAGAUUGAUGGCGAGUGGCGAACGGGUGAGUAAUACAUCGGAACGUGCCCUGUAGUGGGGGGUAACUAGUCGAAAGAAUAGCUAAUACCGCAUACGACCUGAGGGUGAAAGUGGGGGACCGCAAGGCCUCAUGCUGUAGGAGCGGCCGAUGUCUGAUUAGCUAGUUGGUGAGGUAAAGGCUCACCAAGGCGACGAUCAGUAGCUGGUCUGAGAGGACGAUCAGCCACACUGGGACUGAGACACGGCCCAGACUCCUACGGGAGGCAGCAGUGGGGAAUUUUGGACAAUGGGGGCAACCCUGAUCCAGCAAUGCCGCGUGUGUGAAGAAGGCCUUCGGGUUGUAAAGCACUUUUGUCCGGAAAGAAAUCGCACUUACUAAUAUUAGGUGUGGAUGACGGUACCGGAAGAAUAAGGACCGGCUAACUACGUGCCAGCCGCCGCGGUAAUAC
rnacentral:rRNA from 1 species